rnacentral:misc_RNA from 1 species
AAGUCGUAACAAGGUUUCCGUAGGUGAACCUGCGGAAGGAUCAUUCUUGAUAAUGUAGCUUAUGCUAUCAUUAAACAUGUGCACCGUUAUUGCCAUUUGGCGGCCGAACGGUCGUCAUCUGGCCACCAUUUUUAAUUUACUAGCAACUAUUUGUGUACCAGUAAUCAUAAAAUCUUAGACAACUUUUAGCAAUGGAUCUCUAGGCUCUC